GAAUACUGCAUAGUAGCCUAGUCAAGCAGGCAACCUUGAUUAGGGGGAGGGACGAGCUGAUUGCUUGUUAGACUGAGGCUAUUUAAGUCAGCCUGGUUCCUCCACUUGCAGGACAUUUUCCCUCUAUGGCAUGCUAGCGCAAACGCUUUCACAGAGGUGAAUGGCGGUAGGUAGCCUAAUACUCUCUUCCAUGUUCUGUGAAUAUAGAUCGCUCUUCGUAAAGUAAUCUUUCCCUUCAUACAGGUCCCACUCGGUGUGCAUCUACUGGCAUUAGAGAUCACUGAAUUCGCUAUGACUCCCUGGCGGCCUCCCCAUUUCCGCAUUCGGUAUGGGUAGAUAUUGACGGCGCAGACUUGCAGUGUAGCGCAUGGCGUGAUCGUACCCACGAAACACCUGAGUGAUCGCAUGUGUUGCGAGGUUCCCUAGUGGUGAGUAGUUGACACUCCACCCUUUUCCUCACAGGCAGCGCUGCUUCUCCUGGAGCCUUGGCUAAAUCCCUGGCUGGAAGACUGCUAGUUCUGUUGUAGCUGUAGCUAUUUUAUGUGUCGGUUGCACUGAUCUGCUUUAAUAAUAAAUUAUUAUAUCAAUGAUUUAUUCCCACAGCUGCUUCCAGACUACUUUUAUUCCAAAUUAAUAAAUGGUAGAACGAA